UUGCUAUUAAUUGAGAAAAAGGGAAACUGUUUAAGAGCUAAAACUAAUGAAUAUAAUAAGUUCCUAUGCCCGAAACUGGAGGAACAAGUUCCUGUGCUCGAAACUGGAGGAACAAGUGCUGUGUAGGAUGCUCUACUCUGAGUAACAGGUUGGACUUAUUACAAGUAAGAUCCCGUCAGGUGAAAAGGUGGAGUAGUACCUAAAGCUUAAAAACAAUAAAUAAUAAUAAAAUAUAAUAAAGCUUGAAGGUAGUUGCCCCUGAGUUGAUGUUGAAAAGCUUUGGAUCUCUUGAAAAGAAAUAGCCCCCCCUAGUCUGAAAUUCUAGUUAAGUCCAAAAUUAUAGGAAAAGAAUGACUGUUGGUGUAAGCCCUAGAGGCCAAUUAUUUAUAAUUGCAUGAUACUUGUAUUGGAUAUUUUACUUAUUAAAUAAAGGCUUUUCUUUAUUAUGUUUAUGUGUUAAAUAAUAAUAGAGUCCCUAGAAUAGUAAGUUCAUUGUAUGGAACGUUAAGUAUGACUUAAUUGUGAGAUUCCAUUACAUAUAAGAACACUAUUCUUAAACAUAUCCAUAGUCAAGCUUUAUUGU
rnacentral:lncRNA from 1 species